GAGCCAUGGCCAUGUCAAACCCAAGACGUAAACGCUCCUUCACCAAACACUUGGUGUGUAAAGAUGAAAAAACAUAGGUCCAAUGUUUCAACUAAGAAUAGGUCUAAAUUUGUGGUACUUCACCUAACAGUUGGUGAUAUCUCAGUAUGAGGGGGAAAUUCUUACAGGGACGUAAAACAAAACAAACUAACAAUAAAGUACAAAUUUUAAGUAUGUAAGCUAUGCUUUAGUCUGAAUAAACCAUAUGUAAGGUACAGCUAAUCUUUCAUAGUCACAAACCAUGUCUAUUGUCUCCAUUCACACUACAUCAUAGCAGUUUGAGGUAGGGUAGGUACUCCCAGACUCAGUAGUGAUGUUGCUAAUCUUUUAUGCUUUUCUGUAGAUGAAUUGUGAAGAAUGCACCAGACACUUUCAUAAAAAAAACCACUGUGUUGGGGAGGAAAACAUUUCAAAAAAUAGCUUUAUCUGCAGGAUGUGUUCCAUUCGAUUUUGGGGAGAAAAUGACAAUAAAAAAUCACCUGGAAAAAAUGCUGCUAAAAAGACAAAGAAAUCCAUCAGUCUGAGGAAGAAAUCUUCAAAGUGAAUUUGAUUUUUUGAGGACCUUCAGUUUCACAAAGAUGAGCAUGUAUAAGAGUCAUUUGAUAAUCAAUGACCUUCACAGACAAUGUAUUACAAGUGAAAUUUUAUUGUCAGGCAACUCUCUCUUCAAAUAAUGUUUAAAUGUUGUAAUAUACUGAAAAUUAUGUACAGUGUACCUAUAUUAUGUUCCAAUAAUGUAUAUUUUGUGAGAAAUAGUACACGGUUUACAGCAUACAUAGAAAUCAGUACAUUAAAUAAUUCAAUGAUUCAGAAAUCAUGAAUUUGUUUUCAAUGAUGUUCUAUUAUGAAACUUAAAGCAGCAUUCUGAUAUUACAAUCUAGUAUGUUUAAAAUGUUUUGUGAAUCACAUAUAGGAUAAAGGUUUCAAGUACUAACAGUCGAUUUGAUAUUUGUAAUACACCUUAUGAUGAUGCUCUGAUAUGAUUUGUAAAUUGUAAUCUGUAUAGUAUGAUAUCAUAGACACUUCGAGGUCAUAUUGGGCAAGGUGUACGUCGAACCCAAUGUUUUUCUUUUCAAGGACCCCCAUAUAUUUACGUAUUACCCCUCUAGGUGUCUUUAAAACGAAUUUAUCCUGCUAAUGAUUUUACAUUGAUUAAAGGCAUAUUGACA